AACGAACGCUGGCGGCGCGCUUAACACAUGCAAGUCGAACGAGAAGGCGUAGCAAUACGCUUGUACAGUGGCGAACGGGUGAGGAAUACAUGGGUAACCUACCCUCGACGUGGGGGAUAACCCGCCGAAAGGCGGGCUAAUACCGCGUACGCUUCCGAUCUUGCGGGAUCGGAAGGAAAGCUGCACCAUGGGUGUGGCGCUCAAGGAUGGGCUCAUGUCCUAUCAGCUGUUGGUAGGGUAAUGGCCUACCAAGGCAUCGACGGGUAGCUGGUCUGAGAGGACGAUCAGCCACACUGGCACUGCGACACGGGCCAGACUCCUACGGGAGGCAGCAGUGAGGAAUAUUGCGCAAUGGCCUAACGGCUGACGCAGCGACGCCGCGUGAGGGAUGAAGCUCUUCGGAGUGUAAACCUCUGUUGAUCGGGACGAAUGGCGG
rnacentral:rRNA from 1 species